UGAACGAUCUGGGGGAGGUAAUGCUUUUAAUAGAGCUUUUGUUGUUCAUUCCCGUGAUUUUGAUUGUUACUGCUUAUUUGUUGCUGUGGUAGAAUAGGUAACGGUGAGGAAUCCUAUGCGGCGAAUUGUUGUUAGGUCGAUUUCUGGAUUGGGACUUAUUUUGUCUUGAUGGUUUCACUGAAGAAGAGAGUAGGACGUUCCCUGAUCUUUGUUUAGCAUCUUGAUGCAAACUUUGUUGCUUGAAUAGAAAAAAAAGUCAAAAACUUAAUUAGGAGUUGGGUGAUGAUGUUUUGCUUUACCCUUUUGGCAGAUCAGAGACUGAUAUUGUGAACAUAGUGGAGCGAAGGAUAUGGCAUUCGAUGGAGGAAGGACAUUUUGAGAACUUACCUGGAAAAGGGAAACCCCUUGACCUGAGCGUAAAUCCGCACGCAGAUCCAGCGGAAGACACUUUGUAUCGGAUUCUUAAUAAGAAUGGUUGUGCUCCAGAGUGGGUAGAACUUAACAAGGAAAUAAGGAGUGCGAUGUUCGAGUGGCGGAGAGCGCUAAAGAAAGCAUGGAUGAGCAGAAGCAAUGGGAGUCGAUCUGAGUGGGAUGAGCGUUCGGAGGCUUUGAAGGUGCAAAUGCGCAGUAUUAACGACAAGGUGAGUCCUCGGGUUGUUACAUUCAAUUUAAUAGAUGCUUUCUUCUGCUUCUAGUAUACUACUUCUCUUAUGGAAUAGAGAAAGUUGGUUGAUACUGGUUUUGUUAACAAUAUGGAUUUGUUGCGCUUGUGUAGGUCUUUCGGUAUAAUCUCAUUGUGCCCUUUGGACGCCAGAUGUCUGGGAUGAAGUGGGAGAAAGAAUUAGAUCGUUUGAGCGAUGAAUGACUUCUCAUACAGUUGUAAUAUUAUAACAAUUUAGGAGUUGUACUUUGGAGGUGAUGAUAUAUCUAUGAGAUGUUAUAGUUGUAUAAUGUUUUGGUAGAAUGUGCUCAUCGAUUGUUUCUUGAUUCCGUGAUAUGUUUAUGUUUUUUUCUCAUUACUUGUGUGUUUUUUUGGCAAGUGUGAUUGUCCUUGGUUCAGCUUUUCAUUAAGAGCUUUAAAAGCUGGCACCAUCAUUUGCUUCUCUGUGUUCUCUACUGGAUAGAUUGGAGGAGAUCAACAAGUGGAAUGACUGGCGAGAGGUGCUUUAGAAAAGGUUUCUGAGACAGUUACUUUGAGUGAGAGUGAACUUUUCUUAAUCCAACGGUCAGACGUCACAAGUAUGUAGCACAAGCUGUGUCAAAAGGAAACUCACAGAUUACAUAUGCAAUUGAUUUCCAAUCAAUCGACUGACACUUCUUCACUUCGUUAUACAGUUCAAGCUAAGGGACCAUUUCAGCUUCUAGUUUUCAGUCCAAUGAGAAUAUAUUGUCUGCAAUUUUGGCAUAAUUCAUGAGAAAGCCUGAGGAUAGUCUCACACUUACAACUUUGUGAUGUUGGUGAAGACGCUUUUUGUUGAUAUUGCGAAUCCUUGUAGUCUCUCAUUCUGGGUUGUAAUACAGUUGUGUUCGUUAUUUUUUUGUAAAUCACUUUCUUUGCAUGCAAGAAACAGAAAUAGACUAUUCUCUGGAGUUAUUUUUUUUGCCAUUCACCUCUGCUGAAUGCUGAUCUUGAUAUGAAAAGCUUACUAUUGACGAGAGACUCCUUUGAGCUUGCUUGAUUUCAAACUAAGAUCCGCUUGGCGACUGAGUGAUGCUGCCCACCAUUUGUAAGGAAAUGCACGGCUGGUCGCUGGGUUCCGCAGAAGAAUGGCAAAAACCAAGCUGAAAAACUACAGAUAUCUUCUUGCAUGUUCAUUAUCUUGUGUUUUCAAAUUUCCCUGUUCUGAGUUCCUAAGUAUCGAACUGCUUAGGUGGGGGAAUGAAGUUUUUGGAAGGUAAUAGAAAUAGGAAAAUAGUGUCCAGGCUUGUGGAGAACAUCCAAUUACUAUUUUUCGUAGAGAAGUAAGAAAUGAGCUAAAAAGAUUAAAGAGUUUCCUUAUUUUACAAAUUUUCAACAAGCUAAAGGCGAUUUUUAUGUUUCACUGUUUUCAAACUGUAUUAAGAAUUAUGACAAGAAGAGGAAUACUAGUUCAAGAAAUUUGUGAAAUAUGUACUUUUUAAUUUUAUGGAAGAGUUGUCUGAGCUAUAGUUAGUAAAAGAUAUAUGGAGAAGGGUGCCUAAACUGGAAACCAUGAAUUAUACUGUUUUAUAGAUAUAUGAAAAAUUGAGAGGGAGAAAAUCAUCUUUAGAGAUUUACUUAGUGAAAACAAAAAUUUAGAAGUAUUCUCAGGAAUCUGAUUCAUCUUGAAUGAUCCUUUUUGUACUUUGAAAGAAUGAUUCGUGGCUUGAAGUAAUCUUCACAUCCCGAAAGCAAUUCCACUGGAAGGAUUUGACUGUGAAUAGCUCACCAUGUGUCCAGCGCCGAGAAUCCAGUAAAAGAAGAGGUUCCUGAUCCUUUCGUCCCCGUAAAGCCUUUUCCACGGUACAGAGGAGCACGGUCCUCACUCAGGAAACUGCUCAGACCAUGCCACCUGCAUAUUACAAGGCGAAUUUGAGGGACCAUCUUCGAAAUCAAGAAUCCGAGUCGAUGUCUGGGGGUGUGUUUUGUUGAAAAGGAGUCAUUACUUGAGCUUACUGAGCCAUGCUUCUGCUCCUUUUGUUGCACAUAUGAGAUCUAGCUGCAGCAUUAGGAAGUCGUCCAUAUGAGAUUAUGGGGAGCCAAGAUCAGUUGGCCACCGGACUGCGCGAAGCGCGUGGAAAAAGUUCGAGGAAAACCCUGAACUGUCCAUUGUAAAUGGCGACGUUUAUGCUUUUGGCUAAAAGCUUGUCCACCUGAGAAAAUUUCUCGACACUUCAUAAACUUGUGGUGGCAGAUGACGAAAAGCUAAAAUCGAGUCGUAUCUUCUCGUUUACAUCUAAACCAUUGUAUUCCCUUGCAGGAAUAGAGUUCACAGUGCCUACCUCUUCGAUUCUUAGUUUCGUGAAAUCUCCACGCAUGGCUGGAAAAAUCGAGCGAAACUGUCCUUGCCAUCUACAACAAAGAUGAAUUUUGAUUGAGCUGGGAAAAAAUCAAUAUACUUCUAAUGUUGAACUAGGCACAACUGGGAAAGAAAUAAAGGAUUGUGCCAAACUGCUAGUAGAGUUAAAUCUGCCGAACAUUUCUGGUCUACUGGAACUUACGUCACAUUAUCCGGGAUGAUCUUUAGCUUCUUUCUAAUUGGCCCAUUCAUAAAGCUUCCGAAGUCACAGUUGGCUGACCUGCACCAGUUGAGGUUCUCUCCGUGUAUCUAUAUGAGCUACUUUUACCCUCUUUCACCGCUGCCGAGUUGCUCUCGUCGUCUAACAUGAAGUUGUAAAGGUCCUGCAGGUCAUGCAACUCUCAGAAACUCCCUUAACACUAAAGUGCACGCCAUCUUCCUGUGUUAUGGCGAGGACAAGUGAUGGACAUAGAUACCACGUUGUUACUGUAUUUUAGGAUGACUUGCCCCAGGUCUAGAAAUGUUCCCGUGGCAUCUUCCGAUUUGCCUUCUGCAAGUUGCUGCUGGAUCUUCAGUGCUAAACUGGAAAGCACAAUAGUUGACGUUAUGCUCGUCCAUGUAGUUUUCUUUCCGUGUAUAAAUACAAAAGUUGCAAAAAUAUUGCAAUAGAAUUCACGGGACCUCUAAUUUUAUGUAUGCUUAAUUCAUCAUUAUCUUUUUUUUUUUUAAUGAUUGAGGGACCGCCGGAGAUCGACCUUCAGGGAUUACACGACCCUCCAGUGCUUAGUUAGCACCGAUGGGGGUAUUGUUGGAGAUCACCUUGACCCUAGUAAACCACCCUUAUGCCCCCACUUAAUUCGCAAGCAUCUGAAAAUUCGAACUCGUUCUCUUGGCGAUGAGGUAGUAAAGCCCAACUAUCAUGGCUACCUUUAGGUGGAUUAAUUCAUCAUUAUCUUUAUAACAAGAAUAAUCGACAUAUACCAAGAUCCUUAAAUAUUAUAGAUAGAUUGUGAAUACACAAUAUAUAAUACACAUACUUUCAAUUGUAAAGUAAAAUAAUGAAAUUUGAUAUUCCAAGGCUAUACUUAGUAUGACAACCUAAGUCUACGCACACGCCCUUCUUGUUAAACAAUAACACUUCUCUUAAAGGCAACGGUGCUUUUUGUGCAGCAACAAAUGUCCCUUUAAGACGACAGAUCUUAGUGAAUACUCUUUCGACAUUGUUCGCAUAUUAGACGGUCUAUGAAGUGGAAAAAUUCUCAUAUGUCCCUUAUUUUCAAUUGGUUAUCUUAUUGGGGUGCGUUGUGAUUGACAUCAAUCACCUAUAGUAUUGUUAGAGUGUGUAAUAUUGAGACUAGAAAUUGUGAAUGUCAUGUUGUGAGCUUGUUUAGAAAAUUAUAAUUUGUGUGCCCUAUUUAUGGGAAAUGGAGGACCUAACUUUUUCUUUUCAGUCUGGCCACUUUUUUAGUUGAACCUAGGGUGGGCUUUGGCCACUUAGGUAGAAUUGUUGGUCAACGAAUGAUCGACGGUAAUAUUACAAGCGUAAUUAAUUAAAAAUAAAUUUAUUAAAAUAUAUAUAACAUAUGGCAAAUCGAAUUAAAAUUACACUGCACAAAUUGGCCUGGAUGGAAUAAUAAUACAUAAGAGAAAUACAGUUUCAGAUAUAAACAGGUUCGUGCUUCGAAAAAUAUAUAAGUAAAACCUUAUUUAUAGAAAAGAAAAGCAUUUUCUGCUUAGACAAAUUUACUUAGAUGGUAUUAGUUUGGCUUUCCUAACCUGUUUCUAAGUAACAUUUUGCUCAAUUAAUGCAAAAUAAGUUUGAAAUGAGUAUGAUGAGUGAGCUAAGUUUUCUCCCUGUACUUCAAAUAAAACAAACUGAAGGCGGGACUUCAUUCACAAGAAAGAUAAACCAUAGCAUUAUUGAUGAAAUUUCGACAUGGAAAAUUGCAAGAACAUGUUGACGCCCAUGCCUCCUACAAACCUCGACAAAGACAACAAUGAUACAGCAGUAGACCAAGCUAUAUACAAGCAUGAUAAGUUCACUUCUGUUGUACAAAUGCUUUCCAGCUAGAUAUUUUGUUUAGUGUUCGUAUGUGUCACGUUAUUAUUUUUAUUCUAAAGAAUCUCAUUUAAUGGCGGAAAGGCAAAUCAUAAAAUGUAUUUCAACAUUUACUAAAACUCAGUUCGUGGUAUCCAUAGAAUUAUAAUAUUCUAUUAUUGGGUUAUUUAAUGUGGAUUUUGCUGGUCGUAAAAUUGAUGAGAAAAGCACUUCGGGCACAUGGGUGAUGCCCCACAACGUCACACACAACAUGAGUUCAUUCCUUCUGUAUAUAUGUAUGUAUUUAGAUCUUUACUUCAUAUUUAAGAAACAUUUAGUGAGUGUGCACGUUUAUAUAUGCACCUUCUCAAUAACAUUAGUCAUCGAAAUAUGAAUACGGACAUCCAAAAUAUAAAUAAUACAUUAGAUCAAUCUUGGGAACGGGUUGGUGGUAACCUUAGCACCGCUAUAUAUGUUCUAUCAUCUAAUCAAAGGCUUGUCUGUACAAUAUUCAAAUUAUCACCCUACACAAGGAUCUAUAGAUUCCGCAUCAUUACAUCAACAUAGUUUGCCAACAUAUGCAUGCUCCAACUUAGGCUCACUAUUAGAUGGUAAAAUGUAUUUUGCAAUUUGUUCAUGGUACUUCACACAUUGGGCUUCGCAUUUUGUCUCAUAGUUCUCUCCAUUUAUUUGGUUUUGUCGAUGCAAUUUGGGCUAGGUGCAAACUUUCUAGACAUUUGACCACUUGUACUUUUCUUGGCUCAAAUAGUAUUUGGCAAUAUGUUUGUGGUACUUUACACUUUGAGCUUCACAUUUUCUCUCAUAGAUUGCUCCAUUUAUUUGGCUUUGUCAAUGCAAAUUGAGCUAGGUGCAAACUUACCAAACAUUCUACCGCUGCUUAAUGUAAUUUUCUUGGCUCAAAUAGUAUUUCAUAUUGUGCCAAGAAACAAGUUAUCGUGGCCCGCUCCAUAACUAAAGCCAAAUACUGGGCUCUUGCUUUCGUAGCCGCUAAACUUGGAUUUCCUACAUACCGUGUGACAUUGGGAUCUACCAACAUCAACCUUUAUUACUUUUCUUGGACAAUAUGUCAGCAUUACAUCUCACAACUAAUCUAGUUUUUCAUGCUCGGACAAAACACAUUGAGAUCGAUUAUCAUUUUGUUCGAGAAAGGUUGCCCUUGGUUCUAUUGUAUCACGCUAUGUCCUAUCUUCCUCACAAAUUAUUGACAUGUUCACCAAAUCAUUGACUCGAGAUAGUACAAACUAAGGGACCAUUUCAGCUUAUAAUUUUUAGUUUCAUGGGAGUAUAUUGUUUAGAAUUAUGGCAUAGUUCGUACUAAAGCCUGAGCAUCGUCUCACUCUUAAACUUUGUGACGUUGGUGAAGACGCUUUUUGUUGCAGAUGAAGAUUCUCAGAGUCUCAUUCAGGGUCGUAAUACAGUUGAGUGGUCUGGAAUCAUCUUUAUUUUUUGUAAAGCACUUUCUCUGUAUGCAAGAAACAUGAAUAGACUAUUCUCUGGAGUUUGCUAUGUUUUUGCCUUUCGCCUGUGCUGACCUUUGAUAUGAAGAGUCUACUAUUGAUGAAAGACACCUUUGAGCUUGCCUGAUUUUCAAACUAAGAUUUGCUUGGCGACUGAGUGAUGCUGCCCACCAUUUGUAAGGAAAUGCAUGGCUGGUCGAUGGGUACCUGCAAAAGGUCGGCAAAAAACAAGCUGAAAAACUACAGAUAUCUUCUUGCAGGUUCAGCAUGUUGUGUUUUCAAAUUUCCUUGUUCUGAGUUCUAAGUGUCAAACUGUUUAUGUUGGGGAAUGGAGUUUUUGGACUGUAAGAGGAAUAGGAAAAAAUAGUGUGCUGGCUUGUGGAGAACAUCCAAUUACUAUGCCAAAGUACGUGUUUUAUGUGGACCUCAAUGUACAUUUUUCAUUGUUAGGUAUAACUAUAGAUCUUCUCGCUCAAUUUACAGCAUUUCGUUUGACAAUCAAGAUGUCAUUGAAAAUGGGAACGGCCUAUUUUUGGUGAAAUGAUCUUGAUUGUUUUCUGUUUUCAUAGAGAAGUAAGAAAUCGUUUAGAAAGAUUUUAUAGUUUCCUCGUUUUACAAAUUUUCAGCAAGCUAAAAGUAGUUUUUACGGUGAAGUGUUAUUUCACAGUUUUCGAACUGUAUUUAGAGUUAUGACAAGAAAAAGAAUAAUAGAGCCAUAAAUUUGUGAAAUAAAAUUUUUCCUGAUAUGGAAUCAUGGUCUGAGCUUCAGUUUAGCAAAAGGAAUAUGACAAAGAAUACAUUAGAAUUCCAUAAAUUGGAAACCCUGAAUUAUACUGGUUUUCAGAGGUGUGAAAAAACGAGAGGGAAAAUAUCCUCUUUAGAAAUUUCUUAGUGAAAACAGAAACUCAGAAAACUAUCUGGAAUCGAAUUCAUCUUGAAUAUCCUUUUGUACUUUGAAAGAAUGAUUCAAAGCCUGAGGUAAUUUUGACCGGAUAACAAUUCCACUAGAGGGAUUUGAUUGUGGAUGACUCACCAUGUGUCCAGCACCGAGAAUCCAGUAAAAGAAGAGGUUCCUGUAGGAUCUCACGAAUCCUUUUGUCCCCGUAAAGCCUUUUCCACAGUAUAGAGGAACACGGUCCUCACUCAGGAAACUGCUCAGACCGUCCCACCUGCAUGUUAUAAGGCAAAUUUGAGAGACCAUUUUCGAAAUCAAGAAUCCGAGUCAAUGUCUAGGGGUGUGUUUUGCCGAAAAGGAGCCAUUACUUGAGCUUAUUGAGCCAUGCUUCUGUUCCUUUUGUUGCACAUAUGAGAUCCAGCUGCAGCAUCGGGAAGCCGUCCAAAUGAGAUCAUGCGGAGGCAAAAUCAGUCAGAGGCGAGACUCAACGAAGUGCAUCGGGAAGUUUAUGGAGAAAUCCUGACCUGUCCAUUGUAAACGGUGACGUUCACGCCCUUGGCUAAAAGCUUGUCCACCUGAGAUAAUUUCAUGAUUAGUUCCUAAUCUUGCGGUGGCAGACGAUUAGAAGCUAAAAUUGAGUUAUCUUCUCGUUUACGUCUAGGGGGUGGUUUUCAGCGUCACGCUAAAAUUAGUGUCUACCUCUUCGAUUCUUGGUUUCAUGAAGUCUCCAUCGAAGGCUGGGGAAACCAAGCUACCCUGUCCUUGCCAUCUACAACAAGAAGAAAUUUGAUCGAUCCAUCACAAGGGAAAAACAUCUACCUUUCGCGAAAAAUGAAUGAAAUGGAUAAUGAGUUUAAAAGAUGAUCAUCUGUAUCACUUACAAAAAUAAAUGAACGAAAUUUUUUUUCAUUGUCUUUGGAAAUGUUUAAAUAUAAAUUGUUGUUGGUAAUGACAAUAUUUUUUAUUGAUUAAUUAUUUUGAGUGAUACAAGCGAUCAUUUUGAAGAAAAUGUUUUUCAAAUGGAGCGUAAACGUCCCAUUUGGAUUGACUAAGAUAUAAACGAAGCAUUGGGCCUAGCUGCGAGGAGAGUUAAGAAGUCUGUCAAACAUUUCUGGUCUUCUGGAACUUACGUCACGUUAACCGGGAUGAUCUUUAGCUUUUUUCUGAUCGGCCCGUUCAUCAAGUUUCCUAAGCCACUAUUGGCUGCACCUGCACCAGCUGAGGUUCUCUCGAUGUAUCUAUUUGACCUCAUUCUGCUCUCCGUCACCGCCGCAGGAUUGCUCACAUCGUCUAACAUGAAGUUGUAAAAGUCCUGCAGGUCGUGCAACUCUCAGAAACUCCCUCAACACUGAAAGCGUAUACCAUUUUCUAGCGGUAUGACAGAGAACAAAUGAUAGAAAUAUAUACCACGUUGUUACUGUAUCGUAGGAUGACUCCCUCCAGGUCGGACCAUGUUGCGGUGGCAUUUUCCGAUUUGCCUUCUGCAAGUUGCUGCUGGAUCUUCAGGGCUAAACUAGAUAGCACAAUAGUUCACUUCAUGUUAUGCUCAUCUGUCUAGUAUUCUUUUAAAGGAAGGACUUAGGAGAAAAAUAACUCUAACCUGUUUGACUGAUUCAAGCCAUUCUCGUCGAUUCGUGACAUGACUUUAAGAACAGGUCCCCAUGAGAACUUCAUUAUAGUGCAGAUACAACAGUGAGUCACCAAGCAGAAAUGACUAUCUUCAUUAUGCAGAACAAACAAAUCUCUUAAUGGCUGGAGAUCACAUACCACAUAGUCCUCAGGAGAAAUCCAGCUAUCCCCCAAAGCAACUCCUGCAAAUGGACAUUACAAAAAAGCACGAAAAAAAUAGUGCGUUUCUGAUUAUUGAGUACCAAAAUCAUGACGGUGCGUGACUACUUCAAACAAGUGACACAAAGUUGCUGGGAAAAAAAGAAUUUCUACCCCCAAGUUGGGCCUUCAGUUUUCCAGCUUCAAUAGCUUCUAGAGCUGUUAAUCCAAGGGCAGAAGCAAAUUUGCCUCCAUAUGAUUCUGCAAAGAUGUACAGAGGACUCUUUUGGAGGGUCUCAUUCCCGUUGAAGAGCUCUAUCAGCAAAGUUGUCAGAUCAGCGGCUGCUUCAUAGUCUGUUUUCGCUACUAAGCUCUCAUCGUCCACAUAACUGAAACCUGUUGCCACUGGACUGUCCUGUGUACGCAGAGAAUUACAAGUUACACGACUAAGCAACGGUGCCUGAUAGAUGCCAAUACUUAGAAGAGAUUCUUCAGAAUUGUUUGAAACUGAAGAGAAAUUGCUAUGCACCACAAAUAAGAGAUCUGCUUUUCGAAGCCAUGUGAAAUUCCGGGGCUGCAAAUUCUCAUCCAGUGGUCCAAUUUCCCCAAAGUUUCCAUAUCCAACACCGGAGGCUCCCUAGGAAUUGAAGGAGAGAGGUGAUAAAAAAACACUGAUUUUCAUUCUACUGGGUGUAACUUAAACGGUAAGAUUCUCACAGGGCCUCCUUGGAGCCACAGCAGUACUGGCCAUGGUUUGGAAGGGUCUUCAACUCUAUAUGAACUUCUGUACAGCCACCAGAAGAGGUGAGCCCCUACAACCCAUUAUAUAAAUAAAACAUCAGUUUACUUCUUGAAUAUAGAAUAUCACAAAUGAUAAAUACGUACGCAUGGCAAUCAUUUAUUUGAACACAGUGAUACAUUGUUUUUACCACCAACCGAACAAUUUGGACACUGUAGCUUCGUACCUGGUCGAACUUCGACAUAUCCCCACUGCUCGGACCUGUCAUUUGUUCCUUCGGCUGAGGCAAAACGGGGAUGUACAAACGAGAACAAUAGGAGAAAAGAAAGGAAUAGCAAAUGUUUCUCCAUUCCCACCAUAUUUCUUAUUUGUUGCAGAUUGAAUAAGCUGGAGGAGGGUCUGUCACAUGGGGGGCCGUCAAUGAUUUUGCCCUAAGAUAUUUUGCCAGUGGCUGUCGGCAUCUGGUUGGAUAGGGGCGGCCUGAGAAAUCAAAAGCGGGCGAAGACUUGAAGAAACUAUUGCCUUGUCAAUUAGGUAGGGCAUCGACCAAAAAAAAAAAAAAAUUAGGUAGGGCCACAAUGACACACUGUCCAGAGCGAGCUUGUCCUCAUUGGGCUGUGAUUUGAUUGGUGGGGACAACGGGAAACAAACGCGAGCCAAGCAAACAUUGUUUAGAAUCUGGAAUGGAAGUUUUCCAAUCAAGUACGAACGCGAACAAAAUAAAGAAGCCAGGAGUUAUUGGAUCUGUUGACAUCAAGAACUCCAUCGAAUCUCAAGCCGAACAAGAGGAAGAAUUGGUUUGGGAUAUUUGUUUUUUUGGUGAGACAACAUCAGUCGUCAUUCCUGUGAAUCCUCUCUCCCACGUUUGGGUUGUGAUUGGAUCGACUGGGACAAAGAGAAAGGAGUGCGAGCGAAGCAAACAUUAUUUAGAAUCUGGAAUGGAAGUUCUCCAAUCAGGCAAGAACGAGAACAAAACAACUUAGCCGGCAGUUCUUCGAUGGGUCGACUUCAAGAGCUCCAUCGAAAGUCAACCCGAACAAGGGGGAAGAAUUCAUUUAAAAUACAUGUUUUCCGGCGAGACUCCAGUAUGAAAAUUUUAGAUAAUAUGAAAAUUAAAAUUGUUGGAAACCUGUUGGAAAAAUGAAAAAAAUAAGAUUAACUUUCAUAUUCCGCUACUUGUGAAAGCAAAAUUAAGGAAGGAAAGAUGGAGAAGGACGUAGUUCAGAGAGAAGACGUAGGAAAACUUGUAUGUAUUGUCUUCAAUGUAAUUGUGAAUGUACAAAUCUCCUUAGAUAUAAUACAAGGUGUAAACUGUGAAAGAAAGUAAAUGAUCCUAAGUAUCAAUCUCGAUCUAAAUCUAAUAUUUAAUUGAUAUACAUACAAAUUAUGAUCAAAUUAGAUCAAAACUUCCAACAAAUGUGCCGGGCAAUCAUGCACACAAUCAACGGCAUAUCUUCCAACACUCUCCCUCAAGCUGGUGGUUUGUAGAUGUCCAAAACCCCUAGCUUGCUCAAUAGAUAUGUGUGUUGUCUUUGACACAAGGGCUUGGUGAAGAUGUCCGCUGGUUGUUCUGUGGUCCCAAUUCCUUUUGUCUCAAUUACUCAUUCCUGGAUCUUUUCCCGUGUAAAGUGACAAUUCACUUCUAUAUGCUUGGUUCUCUCAUGUACUAUAGGAUUAUAUGCAAGUUUGAGAGCCACAUCAUUAUCACAAUAUAAUUUCGUGGGUCCUUGCACUUCUACUCCAAGAUCCUUAAGUAAUCCUCGUAUCCAGACUAUUUGACAAGUGGCUUUGGCCAUAGCUCGAUACUUUGCUUCGGCUGAGGACAAUAAUAGAGUGGGUUGUUUCUUGGUCUUCCAUGAAAGGAGUGAUUCUCUCAAUUUAAUGUAAUAUCCAGUGACAGAUCUUCAACUUAUGGGACAUGUUGCAUAGUCUGCAUCACAAUAUGCUAUCAUUUUCAUGUCACAUUUUUUAGAUAGAAGUAUCCCAAGUCCUGGACAUUUCUUCAAAUACUUCACGACUUUUAAAGCAGCACCAAAUGGGAACGCUUUGGAUUGUGCAUAAACUGACUAAGUGUCUGAAUCGCAUAUGAGAUAUCAGGUUUAGUCAUUAUCAGGUAUAUAAGUUUUCCAACAAGUCUUUGAUAGCCUGAUGGAUCACUGAGUAUGGGAUCAUCAUUUUGAGAUAUUCCCUUAUCAUAAUAUGCGGUAGUCAAUUUAGUGUUUUGCUCGAUCGGAAUUACAAUUGAAUUGCAUCCUGAUAGUCCUGCCUUUGAUAUGAUCUCUAAUAUAAACUUCCGCUAACUAAGGGAAAUCUCUUUAUCAGAUUGGCAAUUUCAAUCCCAAGAAAAUAUAUAGGUGCUCCUAAGUCCUUAAUGUGGAAAGGGGCAUGCAAAUUUUUCUUGAAAUUCUCUAUAGAAGCUUUAUCAUUUCCCAUAAACGAGUAUGCCAUCAACAUAAAUCAUCAAAUAAAUAGAUGACAUACCUUUAAUUCGUGUGAAUAAAGCAUAAUUGUGCUUAGAUUGCUUGAGGCCUGCUGUUGUAAGAGCACUGGCAAAUUUGGCAUACAAUUGUCUAGAUGCAUGUUUUAAUCCAUAAAGGGAUUUACGGAGACGACAUACUUUAUUCUCCCCUUGUCUCCGUAUGCCUUAAGGAAUAUCUAUAUAGAUUUUUUCAUCUAAAUCACCAUGGAGGAAGGCAUUGUGUACAUCCAUGUCAUUAAUGGCAGCAACGGCUAAGAAUGAAUGGACUGUUACAUCUUUGGCAACUAGAUAGAAUGUCUCGUGAUAGUUGAAAUGUUCUCGUUGGGUAAAUCCUUUGGCUACUAACCGUGCCUUGUACCGUUCAAUAGAAUUUGAUUGCAUCUUUAAAACUUUUUAGAAUGUAAUUAUACCGUCAAAAAAUUUUGCUAUAAUUUUCCCCUUUCCUUUUAAGAAUGCUAAUCAUUGUCGGCACAUAAACUAUGAUCACAAGUGUGGAUGAUAAAUGUGACAACUAAAAAAUGACAUUGUAAAUACAUGUGCAAUUAUUGCAUGAAUCUAAUUCAUAUAUAAAAUUGAAUUUAGAAUGUUAUAUUCAAUUAUAAUUUGUAUUUUACAUGUCAUACUUGGAUUUCGAAAGUCAUGUUAUUAAAAAAUAUUAUGUUUUCGUUAAUUCUUUUAUAAGACUUUGGUCUGUUAAACUCUCGUUACUUUGGUUUUGUCAUAUAGUCGAAUUAAAAUGUGUUAAUUUAAGUUAGAAAUUAUAAAUCUACAUUCUCAUAAUUUUCAAUGAUCUAGGUUAUAUAUAUAUAGACACACACAUAUAUAUCUAUUAUAUUCACGUAAUAGUUUUUCAUACAGAGCAUUAACUAUGGCCUGUUUGUUUCAUAAUUCAACGAAAGUAGAAAUAACAUUUUUUUUAUAGUUUCUCCAAAUAAAUAUAAAAGAUUAUGAAAAAAUAUAUAUGAUUCAAGCGUUAAUAUUUGCUAUCCAUCGAAUCACCCGCCGUAACGUGGCGUCGCUCAUCUCCACCCACGUAAAAAAAAAAAACCAACGUAAGGCGGUGCUCUAAUUUUUCAGACGCCAGACGUCGGCGGAGCUCGCGGUCCGGCUCGGAAAUGGCGGGUCGGCUCGCGAGGAGGCUCUCGCCGUCGCCGGAAUCCUUCCUCGCCGCCGUCGUCGAUAGACGCCGGGUCUUCGCUUGGUCGGGUCGCGAUCGUCCGGGCCCCGGCGAGCUUCCUCGUCGUCGUCGUCUUCAUCGUCUUCACCUUCGUCGCCGGACGGAACGGCGUCGAAGCCGCAGAAGAAGAUCACGGACCGCCUGUCGGCCGUGAUCGACGCCGUCAAUGACCGCAAGCUUCCCCCCGAGCUCCGCGGUCGUCGCAACGCCGUCAGGUAAUAAUCUGAAGCGGACGCGCGCCUUCGCGUAAGCGUAUGUAGGGCAACGUUUUGGAUUAUGGAGCUUUUUCUUUGGUUGUGUGAUUUGUAUGGUGAAUUUCGCGGUUUUAGAGAUGAUUGCUUGCUGCUUCUUCGGAUUGAGCUAGCGUUCGACUUCUGCCUUUGUGUAUCUUUCUCGAGAUGUCCAUUUGUGCUGGAGUUUGGGCUUUAAUUUGCACGAUCUUUCUCUUUUGAGGGAGUAGAGGUAUGGAUUAUCGGUGGCUGAGUUUGACCGUGGCCGCCGGGCAUUGCAUUCUAUGCAUAAGCGCUCUGUUUUAUGAUAAUGUUGCCUACUCAGUUAGGCUUAGUUAGAUGCUGCAGAGUAUAAAGCAAUUCACUCAGAAGAUCAAUUACGUAUUUUUUCGCCUGUUAUAAUGCUUAUGCUGAACGAUCCAGGGGAGGUAAUCCUUUUAAUAGAGCUUUCGUUGUUCAUUCCCGUGAUUUUGAUUGUUACUGUUAUUUGUUGCUGCGGUAGAAGUAGGUAACGGUGAGGAAUCCUAUGCGGCGAGUUGUUGUUAGGUCGAUUUCUGGAUUGGGACUUAUUUUGUCUUGAUGGUUUCAUUGAAGAAGAGAUUAGGACAUUCCUUGAUCUUCGUUUAGCAUCUUGAUGCAAACUUUGUCGCUUGAAUAGAAAACAAAGUCAAAAACUUAAUUAGGGGUUGGGUGAUGAUGUUUUGCGUUACCCUUUUGGCAGAUCGGAGACUGAUAUUGUGAACAUAGUGGAGCAAAGGAUAUGGCAUUCGAUGGAGGAAGGACAUUUUGAGAACUUACCUAGAAAAGGGAAACCCCUUGACCUGAGCGUAAAUCCACAUGCAGAUCCGGCAGAAGACACCUUGUAUCGGAUUCUUAAUAAGAAUGGUUGUGCUCCAGAGUGGGUAGAACUUAACAAGGAAAUAAGGAGUGCGAUGUCCAAUUGGCGGAGAGCGCUAAAGAAAGCAUGGAU
rnacentral:lncRNA from 1 species